GACGAACGCUGGCGGCGUGCCUAAUACAUGCAAGUCGAACGAACCGCGACUAAGUGCUUGCACUAAGUCAAGGUGAGUGGCGAACGGGUGAGUAACACGUGGGUAACCUACCUCAUAGUGGGGGAUAACAGUCGGAAACGACUGCUAAUACCGCAUAGGACAUAGGAUCACAUGAUCCAGUGAGGAAAGGUGGCGCAAGCUAUCGCUAAGAGAUGGACCCGCGGUGCAUUAGCUAGUUGGUAGGGUAAAGGCCUACCAAGGCGAUGAUGCAUAGCCGACCUGAGAGGGUGAUCGGCCACAUUGGGACUGAGACACGGCCCAAACUCCUACGGGAGGCAGCAGUAGGGAAUCUUCCGCAAUGGACGCAAGUCUGACGGAGCAACGCCGCGUGAGUGAAGAGGGUCUUCGGAUCGUAAAGCUCUGUUGUUAGAGAAGAACAGCGCAUAGAGUAACUGCUAUGCGUGUGACGGUAUCUAACCAGAAAGCCACGGCUAACUACGUG
rnacentral:rRNA from 1 species